UUCGUAGGCGGUGCGGCAAGUUGGGAGUGAAAUCUCUGGGCUUAACUCAGAGGCUGCUUUCAAAACUGCCGUGCUCGAGUGCGGGAGAGGCCAGUGGAAUUGCAGGUGUAGCGGUGAAAUGCGUAGAUAUCUGCAGGAACACCCGUGGCGAAGGCGGCUGGCUGGACCGCAACUGACGCUGAGGAACGAAAGCUAGGGGAGCAAACAGGAUUAGAUACCCUGGUAGUCCUAGCCCUAAACCAUCAGGACUUGGGGUGGCCCGCGUAGGCGGGUCGUCUCGUAGCUAACGCGUUAAGUCCUGCGCCUGGGGAGUACGGUCGCAAGACUGAA
rnacentral:rRNA from 1 species